UACGUAGGGUGCGAGCGUUGUCCGGAAUUAUUGGGCGUAAAGAGCUUGUAGGCGGUUUGUCGCGUCUGCUGUGAAAAUCCGGGGCUCAACCCCGGACUUGCAGUGGGUACGGGCAGACUAGAGUGUGGUAGGGGAGACUGGAAUUCCUGGUGUAGCGGUGAAAUGCGCAGAUAUCAGGAGGACACCGAUGGCGAAGGCAGGUCUCUGGGCCACUACUGACGCUGAGAAGCGGAAAGCAUGGGGAGCGAACAGG
rnacentral:rRNA from 1 species